rnacentral:rRNA from 1 species
GCAGCAGUAGGGAAUCUUCCGCAAUGGACGAAAGUCUGACGGAGCAACGCCGCGUGAGUGAUGAAGGCUUUCGGGUCGUAAAACUCUGUUGUUAGGGAAGAACAAGUGCUAGUUGAAUAAGCUGGCACCUUGACGGUACCUAACCAGAAAGCCACGGCUAACUACGUGCCAGCAGCCGCGGUAAUACGUAGGUGGCAAGCGUUAUCCGGAAUUAUUGGGCGUAAAGCGCGCGCAGGUGGUUUCUUAAGUCUGAUGUGAAAGCCCACGGCUCAACCGUGGAGGGUCAUUGGAAACUGGGAGACUUGAGUGCAGAAGAGGAAAGUGGAAUUCCAUGUGUAGCGGUGAAAUGCGUAGAGAUAUGGAGGAACACCAGUGGCGAAGGCGACUUUCUGGUCUGUAACUGACACUGAGGCGCGAAAGCGUGGGGAGCAAACAGGAUUAGAU